AUUGAACGCUGGCGGCAUGCCUUACACAUGCAAGUCGAACGGCAGCACGGGAGCAAUCCUGGUGGCGAGUGGCGAACGGGUGAGUAAUAUAUCGGAACGUGCCCAGUAGUGGGGGAUAGCCCGGCGAAAGCCGGAUUAAUACCGCAUACGACCUGAGGGUGAAAGCGGGGGAUCGCAAGACCUCGCGCUAUUGGAGCGGCCGAUAUCAGAUUAGCUAGUUGGUGGGGUAAAGGCCUACCAAGGCUACGAUCUGUAGUUGGUCUGAGAGGACGACCAGCCACACUGGGACUGAGACACGGCCCAGACUCCUACGGGAGGCAGCAGUGGGGAAUUUUGGACAAUGGGCGCAAGCCUGAUCCAGCAAUGCCGCGUGCAGGAAGAAGGCCUCGGUUGUAACUGCUUUGUCUAGGGAAGAAAGUACUUCUGGGCUAAUACCCCGGGACGGACGUGACGGUACCUCGAAGAAUAAGACACCGGCUAACUACGUGCCAGCAGCCGAC
rnacentral:rRNA from 1 species